rnacentral:rRNA from 1 species
AGUUUGAUCCUGGCUCAGAAUCAACGCUGGCGGCGUGCCUCAGACAUGCAAGUCGAACGCGAAAGUCCCCUUCGGGGGGCAAGUAGAGUGGCGCACGGGUGAGUAACACGUAGGUAAUCUACCUUCGGAUGGGGAAUAACAAUCGGAAACGGUUGCUAAUACCGCAUAAUGCAGCGGCACCUAAUGGUGACAGUUGUUAAAGCGGGGGAUCGAAAGACCUCGCGUCUGAAGAGGAGCCCGCGGCGGAUUAGCUAGUUGGUAGGGUAACGGCUUACCAAGGCUACGAUCCGUAACCGGCCUGAGAGGGCGGUCGGCCACACUGACACUGACAUACGGGUCAGACUCCUACGGGAGGCAGCAGUCGGGAAUUUUGGGCAAUGGGCGAAAGCCUGACCCAGCAACGCCGCGUGAAGGAUGAAAUCCCUCGGGAUGUAAACUUCGCAAGAACGGGAAGAAUAAGUCUGUGUAAAUAUCACAGAUGAUGACGGUACCGUUUGUAAGCUCCGGCUAACUCCGUGCCAGCAGCCGCGGUAAUACGGGGGGAGCAAGCGUUGUUCGGAUUUACUGGGCGUAAAGGGCGCGUAGGCGGCCACCGCAAGUCAAUUGUGAAAUCUCCGGGCUUAACUCGGAAAGGUCAACUGAUACUGCGGGGCUAGAGUGCGGAAGGGGCAACUGGAAUUCUCGGUGUAGCGGUGAAAUGCGUAGAUAUCGAGAGGAACACCUGCGGCGAAGGCGGGUUGCUGGGCCGACACUGACGCUGAGGCGCGA